GAGUUCAUUUCCAUCGUGGCGAUUGCUGGAAGAACACAACGAGACGUCGUCGAACACGGACGAGCGGGCCUGACCCUUUGCUGCCUGUGGAGAACAUGCGUCACCUGGUGCGGAUGAAAUCACAUGGAUAUGGAGGCCACAAGAUAACAUAUCAAGCAAAUUGUUGAGUAUCGAAUGGCCAAGUAUCGAAUAAAAUUGAAUGCUGACUCACUUCACCGGGAAUCGCUCUGAAAAUAAUUUAAAAAAUACUUUCAACCACUGCUGCUCUGCUCACUGACCCCUUCACCAGGAAUCGCUCUGAAAAUAAUUUAAAAAGUCUUUUCAACCACUGCUGCUCUGUACACUGACCCCCUUCACCAGGAAUCGCUCUGAAAAUAAUUUAAAAAGUCCUUUCAACCACUGCUGCUCUGUACACUGACCCCUACACCAGG